GAGUUUUGAUCCGGGCUUGGGGCCCAUGGUCAGUAGGUAGUCAGCCACCACGAGAGGAUUUGAGUCCUACACCUCCUAUAUUUUUAAAAAUCCAAAAUUAUCCUUAAUUUUUAUAUUAUACCAUUUUAGAAUAGACACUCCAUAAUAAUAAAAAAAAUAACUUCUGAAAUAGGUGCUGUGUUUUAUAAUAAUAAAAAAUAACUUUUAGAAUAAACAUUUUAUAACCUUUAAAAAUAACUUUCGAAUUAGGUGUUUUCAUAAUAGUAAAAAAUUGUUUCCAAAAUAAAUAUUCCAUAACAGUAAAAAAAUAAUUUUGUGUUUAAAAAUAAGUAUUUCAUCACAAUAAAAUAUAAUUUUACUUUCCAGAAGAAAUGCUCAUAACAAUAAUAAAAAAAAACAUCAUGAGUCCAAAAAAAACGUGGCGGAAGUGUUGGUCAUGUGGGCCUGGGCCAGUCUUAUGCGGAGGGCCUUGGGCCGCUGAGAAUGUCGUGGAAGUAGAAGUGAAGGUGGCUGAGCUUCUCCUUCUGAAGACUCAAUGAUGUUGGAGAUAUGCUUUGGUACAAAAGAGGUGAUUUUGCUGUGCUGAAUGAGAAGAGGAGCGUGAGAAUGAUGGUGAAAAUGUGUGUGUUUUGGUGUUGGCCAUGGAAAUGGUGGAGGUGGUGAUGCUGAGGUGAGGACAAAAAAUUAGGAAAAAGUAAAACGCUGUGAGCAGCAAAGAGUGAGUUUUUUAUAAGCCAUUUAUAGAGUGGAUUGUAUGGAAGAAUUGGAUUGGAGUGAUGUGAUGACAUGCUAGAAUAAGGUGAAAACUCGUGAACUUGGCAGUUGGCACAAGACGGUGACGGAGAAACCAAAACCUUUUUAUGUGGAAUCUCUUUUCCAUUUCUUGAUCAAACGUGUCAGUGUUAGCUUUGAAUUUUUUACUUUCUCUUUUGAUACAUGAGUAGUGCUAAAUGAUUAAUCACAUGUCAAUUCCAAAUUAGAUUUAAUAAAUUUUGAGGACACGUUGAAGUUAUGUUUCUGAUCAUCCAAAACUUAUUUGGUAUCCAAUAUUUUCAAUGUGGUGUAUGGAAAUAUUAGACAAAAUUAUUAAACAAACUUGAUAUUAUAUAAAUUCUCAUUUUUUAUAUAAAUCUUGUAAUUUUUUGAGCCGAAAAAUCAUUUAUUAAAGUUUCAUACUCAAUUAAUUUUAAUAUUUAAUUUUCAAUAUAUAAGAUAACUAGUUCAUUCAAUUUAUCUUAUAAUAUUAUUGAUUUUAGAAAAAAUUUAAGUAAUUUUAAUUUUAAAAAAAAAAUUUAGCUCGCUAAUGAUAAUUAUCUUUGAACCUUUUGACAAUUUAAUGCAAGUUUUCAAAAGAAUACUAAGAUGAUAUAUGAAAAGAAGAGAAAAAAAAAAGAUAACUAAAAAAAUUUGGAGAGAAAAUAUCAAAAUUUUAAUUAUAUAUAGAUAAUAAAAUAAAAAAUGUUUUCAAAAUUUAAGAAGCAAAAUAUAGUUGCUUGAUCUAGUGAAAAGUAUAAUAUGUUGUUCUUUGUGUUCAAAAUCACAAUCAAUCACGAAUUAUCCAAGAAACUUAAACCAACAUGACAAAAAAACUUAACAAUAAUAACAAAACAAUUUACAUGUAAUUUAUAAAAAAUCAUCAAUAAAAUUUUAGUGACACAAGUAUUAGUGAUAGAAAUUACCAAUAGUGAUAAAAUUUUAUCAAUAAUGCUUUAAUUUCUUGUAGUGUGACUAAUAAAAAAAUUAUGAUCUACAACAUGUAUGGUUACCAACAAAUUAAGCUUGAAGCAUGUAUUAGACAUACUAUCUUUAAGGACUUAUUUGUGUGAUGUACAAGUCCCAUUGAAUUUAACAUGUUCUUCCCAAUAAUAUUUUGGGACAACAAAACUAGCAAAGUUUUUCUGAUGAAAAUAACUCAGGAUUUAUCUUGUAAAAAUAGAGAGAAAAGAUAUACAAGAAUUCACUAAAACCAUCUGAAUAAAGAAUAGAUAGGAUUUUUUUUUUUUGACAAACUGAUAUAAUUUUUAAACUAUCCAAGUCCAAGUAAAAAAUAAGGUGAGAUCUAAUUUAACUGAACAAGAUAUGACCUAACAAAUUUUUGUUUUUAAUAAAUAGUAAAUUAAUUUAAUUAAAUAGAAAUGUUAACCUUUUUAAAUAUCAACAAAAUAUACAGUAUACUAUAGGUUGCAACUCCUUUGAACUUAUAUGGAUCAAACAACUUCUUUAGGAGUUAAAGUUUUAUGAAAUAAGUUCAAAAAGUAGAGUUGUAUUGUGAAAAUAAAGCAUCCUCUUGUGUUGUUUUUAAUCCUGUAGUAUUUUAUGAGAUGAAAAAACAUAUAGAAAUUUAUUGUCAUUAUAUUUAUAAAGAGUUUCUAUCCAAAAAAAAUCAUUAGUGAGUUUGUUAAUUCAAAUUAUCAACUUGCUGACAUCUUCCUAAUUUUUGAAGAGGAGCACAAAUUCAAUUUAUUUGUUGCAAGCUUGGAAUAUUCAACGUCUAUGCUCAAUUGCUCAUGGUUGAGAGAAUGUUGAAAAGGAUUUUAUAUUCCUAGGGAUUUAAUGUCAAGAUAUUUGAAUGGACAAAUCCCCUUUGUGUAUUUAGGCAUCCCUGUGGGAGCCAAUUUCAGAAGAGCGGAAACAUGGAAACCAGUACCUAGUAGACAAAAUCUCAAGGAAACUGGCUUCAUGGAAACAUAAGCUUCUAUCCUAUGGAGGCAGGAUUUGUCUAAUUAAACAUGUUCUAUCAUCUCUUCCGUUGUUUUAUUUUUCCCUUCACAAGGCGCCUAAGGGGGUGAUUAGUGACAUCAAUAAACUUCAAAGGAAACUCUUGUGGGGAGCAAAAGAGGAAGAAAAAGAAAUUAUGUUGGGUAAGUUGGCAUCAAAUAUGUGGUCAAAAGGAGUGUGGAGAUUUGUUAGUGAAAAAGAUUCCUUGUGGGCAAGGGUUCUGAAAGGGAGAGCAGAUCAAGGAGAGGAUAUUAUGCGUAAUCGGUGGACAUCAUCAUGGUGGAAAGAAGUUCGUGAGGUAUGCUCAAAUGAUUACCAUCAGGAUUGGUUCUGGAAGGCAUUGCAAAGAAGGGUUGGCAAUGGGGAAAAUGCACUUUUUUGGAAGGAUGUAGGGUUGAGACAAGAGGAGAUCGGGACCAGAUAUAGCAGAUUGCUUGCGGUCUCAUCACAAGCAAAUUGUCGCAUCAAUGAAGUUGGUAGAUGAGAGGGGGAAACAUGGAGAUGGGACUUGAAAUGGUGAAGAAGCCUUUUUGUCUGGGAAGAGCAGCUAAAAAGUGAUAUACUUAGUGCGCUGGAAACUGUGAGGUUAAUAAAGGAAGAGGAAGAUUCUUGGGGGUGGGAGGAUAAUAAGAUAUUUAUAGUGAAAGGAGCAUAUGAUGUGUUGCAAGAUGGAAGGGAAUUUCAAAUGUCCGACUUCUUCAAACAAUUGUGGAGGCUUAAAGCACCUUCCAAAAUUCUAGUCUUUGGUUGGAGGGUUGCAUUGUCCAAAAUUCCAACUAUGUUCCACCUUAAACACAGAGGGAUUAUGGGUCCGAGAGAUGAUUCAAAAUGCCCCCUCUGUAAAGAGGGGGAGGAAACAAUCUCACAUCCUUUCUUGGUUUGCAGGGUGGCAGCAACUGUAUGGUAUCAGUGUGCGGCGUGGUGUGGAGUUCAAACGGCUAUUAAGAUGGAAGACUCCUAUUGACAAGUUUCAAGUUGGGUGCAGGGAAAUGAUGCGAGAUUGGCGUGGUCUGAUGUAUGGCUAGAAACAAUUUGGACAAUCUGGCUACAGAGGAAUGAUAUAGUUUUUAAUUAUGGCAAUUUAAGCUAUGGAGGAUAUGGUGGAGCUGAUCAAAGUGAGGUCCUCGCAAUGGAGCAAGGCUAAGUCGAAGGGAUUUCAUUUUUCAUUCUAUGUCUGGUCUAAUAACAUUAGAUCAAUGUUACAGCAGAGUUAGACAAUACCUGCAACGAAAUACAUGUCAAGAUUCCCUUUGUGUGCUUCCUAUCGGCAUGCAGGUAUCAAGGCAGAGUUUGGUGAGUAUGUCACGUAUUGGAAUUAAUACAGUGGGGGGCAUUGCUGUGGCAAUGAGUGGUGGAGAGUCAUAUUAAAGGCUGAGGCUGUCACUGGGUCCAUGUUUAUGGCUUACCAGAACCACCAAAAUAUUGCGCACAGACUUUGGCGGUGUCAGCAACUGAUUCUACAAAAUUUUCUUCUUGCUAAUGGAUAAAGGUGUCUUGAUCUGGGUGUUGUGCUCUUGUUGGUGUUGGUGGGGUGCAAUAAGUGUCGGUGGAAUUUUGGUGCAGUUAUUGGCAAUUGAUGAAAGGCAUAAUGGUAUUAAUAUAUCUAGUGGGGAUAGUAUACUGUUAUGAUUAGCUGGGUAAAAAUGUAUGACUUUGGUUUUUUGGUGUGGCAAUUUCUGUUGGGCUUUAUUUAUGCUCUCUGGAGGGUGCUAAUAAG
rnacentral:lncRNA from 1 species